CAGUAGCCGCGGUAAUACGUAGGUGGCAAGCGUUGUCCGGAAUUAUUGGGCGUAAAGCGCCCGCAGGUGGUUUAAUAAGUCUGAUGUGAAAGCCCACGGCUCAACCGUGGAGGGUCAUUGGAAACUGUUAAACUUGAGUGCAGGAGAGAAAAGUGGAAUUCCUAGUGUAGCGGUGAAAUGCGUAGAGAUUAGGAGGAACACCAGUGGCGAAGGCGGCUUUUUGGCCUGUAACUGACACUGAGAGACGAAAGCUAGGGGAGCAAAUGGGAUUAGAUACCCGAGUAGUCCCUGUCUCUUAUAC
rnacentral:rRNA from 1 species